rnacentral:rRNA from 1 species
UACGGGGGGGGGCAAGCGUUGUUCGGAAUUACUGGGCGUAAAGGCUCGUAGGCGGCCAACUAAGUCCGACGUGAAAUCCCCAGCUUAACCUGGGAACUGCGUCGGAUACUGGAUGGCUUGAAUUCGGGAGAGGGAUGCAGAAUUCCAGGUGUAGCGGUGAAAUGCGUAGAUAUCUGGAGGAAUACCGGUGGCGAAGGCGGCAUCCUGGACCGACAUUGACGCUGAUGAGCGAAAGCUAGGGGAGCAAACGGG